GAUGAACGCUGGCGGCGUGCCUAAUACAUGCAAGUCGAGCGAACGGACGAGAAGCUUGCUUCUCUGAUGUUAGCGGCGGACGGGUAAGUAACACGUGGAUAACCUACCUAUAAGACUGGGAUAACUUCGGGAAACCGGAGCUAAUACCGGAUAAUAUUUUGAACCGCAUGGUUCAAAAGUGAAAGACGGUCUUGCUGUCACUUAUAGAUGGAUCCGCGCUGCAUUAGCUAGUUGGUAAGGUAACGGCUUACCAAGGCAACGAUGCAUAGCCGACCUGAGAGGGUGAUCGGCCACACUGGAACUGAGACACGGUCCAGACUCCUACGGGAGGCAGCAGUAGGGAAUCUUCCGCAAUGGGCGAAAGCCUGACGGAGCAACGCCGCGUGAGUGAUGAAGGUCUUCGGAUCGUAAAACUCUGUUAUUAGGGAGGAACAUAUGUAUAAGUAACUGUGCACAUCUUGACGGUACCUAAUCAGAAAGCCACGGCUAACUACGUG
rnacentral:rRNA from 1 species